GAUGAACGCUGGCGGCGUGCCUAACACAUGCAAGUCGAGCGAACCCUUCGGGGUGAGCGGCGGACGGGUGAGUAACGCGUGGGUAACCUGCCCUGUACACACGGAUAACAUACCGAAAGGUAUGCUAAUACGGGAUAACAUAUGAGAGUCGCAUGGCUUUUGUAUCAAAGCUCCGGCGGUACAGGAUGGACCCGCGUCUGAUUAGCUAGUUGGUAAGGUAACGGCUUACCAAGGCAACGAUCAGUAGCCGACCUGAGAGGGUGAUCGGCCACAUUGGAACUGAGACACGGUCCAAACUCCUACGGGAGGCAGCAGUGGGGAAUAUUGCACAAUGGGCGAAAGCCCGAUGCAGCAACGCCGCGUGAGCGAUGAAGGCCUUCGGGUCGUAAAGCUCUGUCCUCAAGGAAGAUAAUGACGGUACUUGAGGAGGAAGCCCCGGCUAACUACGUGCCAGCAGCCGCGGUAAUACGUAGGGGGCUAGCGUUAUCCGGGAAUUACUGGGCGUAAAGGGUGCGUAGGCGGUCUUUCAAGCCAGAAGUGAAAGGCUACGGCUCAACCGUAGUAAGCUUUUGGAACUGUAGGACUUGAGUGCAGGAGAGGAGAGUGGAAUUCCUAGUGUAGCGGUGAAAUGCGUAGAUAUUAGGAGGAACACCAGUAGCGAAGGCGGCUCUCUGGACUGUAACUGACGCUGAGGCACGAAAGCGUGGGGAGCAAGCAGGAUUAGAUACCCUGGUAGUCCACGCCGUAAACGAUGAGUACUAGGUGUCGGGGGUUACCCCCCUCGGUGCCGCAGCUAACGCAUUAAGUACUCCGCCUGGGAAGUACGCUCGCAAGAGUGAAACUCAAAGGAAUUGACGGGGACCCGCACAAGUAGCGGAGCAUGUGGUUUAAUUCGAAGCAACGCGAAGAACCUUACCUAAGCUUGACAUCCCAUUGACCUCUCCCUAAUCGGAGAUUUCCCUUCGGGGACAAUGGUGACAGGUGGUGCAUGGUUGUCGUCAGCUCGUGUCGUGAGAUGUUGGGUUAAGUCCCGCAACGAGCGCAACCCUUGCCUUUAGUUGCCAGCAUUAAGUUGGGCACUCUAGAGGGACUGCCGAGGAUAACUCGGAGGAAGGUGGGGAUGACGUCAAAUCAUCAUGCCCCUUAUGCUUAGGGCUACACACGUGCUACAAUGGGUGGUACAGAGGGUUGCCAAGCCGUGAGGUGGAGCUAAUCCCUUAAAGCCAUUCUCAGUUCGGAUUGUAGGCUGAAACUCGCCUACAUGAAGCUGGAGUUACUAGUAAUCGCAGAUCAGAAUGCUGCGGUGAAUGCGUUCCCGGGUCU
rnacentral:rRNA from 1 species